rnacentral:rRNA from 1 species
UGGCAAGUCGACCAAAGGCGAAAGCAGUCAUCAAGUUCAUACCCGUUGAUCAAGGGCGAAAGUUAAGGGUUCGAAGACGAUCAGAUACCGUCGUAGUCUCAACUAUAAAUGAUACUGACCAGGGAUGUGACUCUGUCCUUCUCGACUCCUUCCGGACCUUAGAGAAAUCAAAGUCUUUGAGUUCCGGGGGGAGUAUGGUCGCAAGGCUGAAACUUAAAGGAAUUGACGGAAGGGCACACAAAGAGUGGAACCUGCGGCUUAAUUUGACUCAACACGGGAAAACUCACCAGGUCCGGAUACGCGUAUGAAACACAAGCUGAAAGACUUUUGUCAAUGACGUAAGUGGUGGUGCAUGGUCGUUCUUAGUUCGUGGAGUGAUUUGUCUGGUUUAUUCCGAUAACGAGCGAGACCCCGGCGUUCCUAAUAGGGGCGGCAGCCCGGCUUGCGCCUUCGGGCGCUCGCUAGCAGCCGCCUCGCAAUAGCUUCUUAGACGUAUCAGAGCCGAUAAGGUUCUUGAAAUGGGUUAAUAACAGGUCAGUCAUGCCCUUAGAUGUUCUGGGCCGCACGCGCGUUACAAUGGUAGACUAAAAGAGUGCCUUUACAGGGCGAUACCGGGGCCGAAAGGCCUCGGUAACCCCUAGAGUCUCCCUUGACUGGGACAGACUAUUGCAAUUAUUGGUUCAAACGAGGAAUUUUUAGUAGGCGUAGGUAAUUAACCUGCG